AAACGACUCUCGGCAACGGAUAUCCCGGCUCUCGCAUCGAUGAAGAACGUAGCGAAAUGCGAUACUUGGUGUGAAUUGCAGAAUCCCGUGAACCAUCGAGUUUUUGAACGCAAGUUGCGCCCGAUGCCAUUAGGCUGAGGGCACGUCUGCUUGGGUGUCACGU
rnacentral:rRNA from 1 species